AGCACCAAGCGGCGCAGCUGGGGCGGAAAUUGGCAACUUCCAGCACCAGGAGGUAGAGAU
rnacentral:rRNA from 10 species